GGCCCUGGUGCAGGUGGGCUCCUCGCAGGCGCGGCGCGAGCCCAGGUGCCCCGGGCAGUGUCCCCGGUGCAGGCGUGGAGUUGUCUCGCCGGCCGCAAGGCCUCGGUUCUCCCCGGGGGUGUUGGGCUCUUCGGGAGUCGGGAGAGGGAUCUUCGAUGUUCCUGAAUAAUCUGCAGUCAAAGGAAGAGAAGGAGGGAGGAGAUGCAGGGAGCAGGCUCCUGGCCUCCUCAGUGUUCCAGUCCCAGUUUCCAGACUGUUCCUCAGCUUCCUUCAUCCCUGCCCGUAGGCUCUCUGGACCUGGAUAGAAACCUGAGCCAGAAGCAAGCCUGUAUGGUUAGAUCGGCUGUGAGGAAGGUCGGCCUUCUGCAGUGGCGGGAAGCUCUCCUCAACGGGAUCCUCCAUUCUGCUGAUGAAAUCAACCCAGUCAGUUCCCCUCUCUGAGAAUAUGAGUGCACAGCGUGCACUGAGAGGGUGGUCCUUCAAGCUCAACUGGCAACCCCACCAGGAUAAACUACCCUUCAUGAGGUCUGUUAUUCAUCCUCACUGUCGAAAUACUGGGACCCACAUCUAAUAGUC